rnacentral:rRNA from 1 species
AUUGAACGCUGGCGGCAGGCCUAACACAUGCAAGUCGAACGGUAACAGGAAGAAGCUUGCUUCUUUGCUGACGAGUGGCGGACGGGUGAGUAAUGUCUGGGAAACUGCCUGAUGGAGGGGGAUAACUACUGGAAACGGUAGCUAAUACCGCAUAACGUCGCAAGACCAAAGAGGGGGACCUUCGGGCCUCUUGCCAUCGGAUGUGCCCAGAUGGGAUUAGCUUGUUGGUGGGGUAACGGCUCACCAGGGCGACGAUCCCUAGCUGGUCUGAGAGGAUGACCAGCCACACUGGAACUGAGACACGGUCCAGACUCCUACGGGAGGCAGCAGUGGGGAAUAUUGCACAAUGGGCGCAAGCCUGAUGCAGCCAUGCCGCGUGUAUGAAGAAGGCCUUCGGGUUGUAAAGUACUUUCAGCGGGGAGGAAGGGAGUAAAGUUAAUACCUUUGCUCAUUGACGUUACCCGCAGAAGAAGCACCGGCUAACUCCGUG